rnacentral:lncRNA from 15 species
GCCAACAGAGUGUAUGAGGAGAUCGGAGAGGAGGACAGACAGAGCAGAUCUCCUCCUGCAGAAAUAUCUACAGUUUACACUUACGCCAAAUACUCCAAACCAAAUGCAGUUGAAACCACAGAUGAGUACAGCCUUAUCACUGCAGCCGGUCCCCAGAACAAAACUGAAGACGACCCGAGUAAACUCACCUACUCUGAGGUGGAUUUCUCCAACGGUGCAGCUGCCUCGCUCCACAGCGCCCCCCGUGGUGAUGCAGAUAACGUGGUCUACUCUGUGCCUCGGGUUGCAGCGAGCAGCCACGCCGAAGACGCUUCCCCUCCUCUGUACUCUACUGUUAGUUUGCAUCAGCUGUAGCUCCAACGCUGUCCACGCCACAUUGACUCUCUCAGUGGUCAACAGGUGAACACACACUGGUUUGAAGGACUCACAUUCACACACAAAUCUGUUUGUUAGCUCCUUUUACUGCUUAUACUUUAAGUUAAGAUUCUCUUGAAUAUAUUUUUUUAAAGAUAUUAAUGUAUUAAAGUUCAGGUGAAAUAAAGUAUUUAAUUUUAACCCUUUCAUAUUGCAUCCUCAGUUAUUUUGUUCCCUUAUUUAACUUUAUUUUAAUGUUCCCACCAGGAGUUGAAAUAUGGACAUUUUGAAUUUGGGGAAUGUCAGGAAUGGAUGCAGCAUCCCCACUAACCCCUAAUAUCAUUAAAAUAUUGUCUUCUGAAUUUCAAUGUCAGUUAUUGUGCCUGCAGAACUGAAGAAAUCUGAAGGAAUAUUACAUCUGAACAUUGACACCAACGACAUUGAGCUCUCUUGAUUCUUAAAUGCAGGUCCAAUAUAUUAAUCUUAUAAAUAACCUCAGAAUUGGUUCAAAGUUCAUCAAAAUCCACAAACUGGGAGAUGAAAUAUGGCCACCUCUUCUUUAAACACUGUCUACUGUUUACUUUUUACUUUCUUUAUUUUUUAUUUACAAUGAUUGUCACUGUGAUAAGUUUCAUUCAAACCCAUCGAUCUGUUACAUAAACUGAGCUUCCUGGAUCGUAUUAAGUCUCCCUCCCUCCCUGUCACUUGUUUUAUGAAAUAGGACAUAUAAUAGGACUCAACAAUAGACACA